GACGAACGCUGGCGGCGUGCCUAAUACAUGCAAGUCGAGCGAAUCAAUAGGAGCUUGCUCCUGUUGAUUAGCGGCGGACGGGUGAGUAACACGUGGGCAACCUGCCUGUAAGAUCGGGAUAACUUCGGGAAACCGGAGCUAAUACCGGAUAAUCCUUUCCUACACAUGUAGGAAAGCUGAAAGUCGGUUUCGGCUGACACUUACAGAUGGGCCCGCGGCGCAUUAGCUAGUUGGUGAGGUAACGGCUCACCAAGGCGACGAUGCGUAGCCGACCUGUGAGGGUGAUCGGCCACACUGGGACUGAGACACGGCCCAGACUCCUACGGGAGGCAGCAGUAGGGAAUCUUCCGCAAUGGACGAAAGUCUGACGGAGCAACGCCGCGUGAGCGAUGAAGGCCUUCGGGUCGUAAAGCUCUGUUGUUAGGGAAGAACAAGUAUCGGAGUAACUGCCGGUACCUUGACGGUACCUAACCAGAAAGCCACGGCUAACUACGUGCCAGCCGCCGCCGUAACAC
rnacentral:rRNA from 1 species